rnacentral:rRNA from 1 species
UAAGUAAGUGGUGGAAAUUAAACCAAAUGGGAUAUCUUUAGUAAUUGCGAAUGAACAAGGAUAUGCUUAGCUUGACAAAUGGAGCUAUUGGCUUUGAAUUGUAUUUGUGGAAUGUAUUACCAACAGAGGUGCAGGUGCCAGCCUAUUAAAUAAAGCGUCAAUGAGGGUGAGAAUCCUGUUUGUCAUGUGCAGCCCUUUGUGCACGGUGUAUAUUUGCUGAGUCACACUCCUUGGCAUUGGAAUGCAAAGUGGGUGGUAAGUUUCAUGUACAGGUAAACAUGCAAUUGAGACUGAUAGCACACGAGUACCAUGAGGGAAAUACGAAAAGGACUUUGAAAAGAGAAUUAAAUGAGUUUGUAUUUGCUGAACACAAAGUAAACAGACUUGAUUUGCUUGGUGGGAGUGUUGCACUUGCUUGACAAGAGCUUUGGGCUGUGGGUGUAAUGAUUCUUUCUUUGCAUGCCAGUUUCUAUGUGUACAUCUGAUUACCUUUGCACAUGAAUGAUAAGUCUCCUGUGGGGGGUGGAUUGCAUGUGCAUGUAAUGAUUUGUGUUUUGAUAAAUGUGUCUGGUGUAUGUGUGUGUGUUCCUGUGCUUGGGGAUGCUUCCUUCCUUGGACUUACAAGCCCUGACACACACAUGCUGGCAAAAUGCUUCUGCUUGACCCG